AUAUUACUCCCUUUGUCCGGAAUUACUUGUCGCAAAAUCGUAUGAAAAUGGAUGAAUCUAGAACUAAAAUAGAUGUAAAUACAUUCAUUUCCGGGACAAGUAAUUCGGGGCGGAGGGGGUAGUUG
rfam:Hordeum vulgare subsp. vulgare, WGS project CAJW01000000 data, contig: morex_contig_65986